rnacentral:rRNA from 1 species
UGAGCAAUCUGCCCUUCACAUCGGAAUAACCAUUGGAAACGAUGGCUAAUACCGAAUAUGACUUCGGAUCGCAUGAUCUGAAGUGGAAAGCUCCGGCGGUGAAGGAUGAGCUCGCGGCCUAUCAGCUUGUUGGUGAGGUAAUAGCUCACCAAGGCGAUGGACGGGUAGCCGGCCUGAGAGGGUGACCGGCCACACGUGGGACUGAAACACGGCCCAGACUCCG